rnacentral:rRNA from 1 species
UACGUAGGGUGCAAGCGUUGUCCGGAAUUAUUGGGCGUAAAGAGCUCGUAGGCGGCUUGUCGCGUCGGCUGUGAAAACCUGGGGCUCAACCCCGGGCCUGCAGCCGAUACGGGCAAGCUAGAAUUCGGUAGGGGAGGACUGGAAUUCCUGGUGUAGCGGUGAAAUGCGCAGAUAUCAGGAGGAACACCGGUGGCGAAGGCGGGUCUCUGGGCCGAUACUGACGCUGAGGAGCGAAAAGCGUGGGGAGCGAACAGG